rnacentral:rRNA from 1 species
UCCUACGGGAGGCAGCAGUAGGGAAUCUUCGGCAAUGGGGGCAACCCUGACCGAGCAACGCCGCGUGAGUGAAGAAGGUUUUCGGAUCGUAAAGCUCUGUUGUAAGAGAAGAACGUGUGUGAGAGUGGAAAGUUCACACAGUGACGGUAACUUACCAGAAAGGGACGGCUAACUACGUGCCAGCAGCCGCGGUAAUACGU